rnacentral:rRNA from 1 species
GACGAACGCUGGCGGCGUGCCUAAUACAUGCAAGUCGAACGAACUCUGGUAUUGAUUGGUGCUUGCAUCAUGAUUUACAUUUGAGUGAGUGGCGAACUGGUGAGUAACACGUGGGAAACCUGCCCAGAAGCGGGGGAUAACACCUGGAAACAGAUGCUAAUACCGCAUAACAACUUGGACCGCAUGGUCCGAGCUUGAAAGAUGGCUUCGGCUAUCACUUUUGGAUGGUCCCGCGGCGUAUUAGCUAGAUGGUGGGGUAACGGCUCACCAUGGCAAUGAUACGUAGCCGACCUGAGAGGGUAAUCGGCCACAUUGGGACUGAGACACGGCCCAAACUCCUACGGGAGGCAGCAGUAGGGAAUCUUCCACAAUGGACGAAAGUCUGAUGGAGCAACGCCGCGUGAGUGAAGAAGGGUUUCGGCUCGUAAAACUCUGUUGUUAAAGAAGAACAUAUCUGAGAGUAACUGUUCAGGUAUUGACGGUAUUUAACCAGAAAGCCACGGCUAACUACGUGCCAGCAGCCGCGGUAAUACGUAGGUGGCAAGCGUUGUCCGGAUUUAUCGGGCGUAAAGCGAGCGCAGGCGGUUUUUUAAGUCUGAUGUGAAAGCCUUCGGCUCAACCGAAGAAGUGCAUCGGAAACUGGGAAACUUGAGUGCAGAAGAGGACAGUGGAACUCCAUGUGUAGCGGUGAAAUGCGUAGAUAUAUGGAAGAACACCAGUGGCGAAGGCGGCUGUCUGGUCUGUAACUGACGCUGAGGCUCGAAAGUAUGGGUAGCAAACAGGAUUAGAUACCCUGGUAGUCCAUACCGUAAACGAUGAAUGCUAAGUGUUGGAGGGUUUCCGCCCUUCAGUGCUGCAGCUAACGCAUUAAGCAUUCCGCCUGGGGAGUACGGCCGCAAGGCUGAAACUCAAAGGAAUUGACGGGGGCCCGCACAAGCGGUGGAGCAUGUGGUUUAAUUCGAAGCUACGCGAAGAACCUUACCAGGUCUUGACAUACUAUGAAAAUCUAAGAGAUUAGACGUUCCCUUCGGGGACAUGGAUACAGGUGGUGCAUGGUUGUCGUCAGCUCGUGUCGUGAGAUGUUGGGUUAAGUCCCGCAACGAGCGCAACCCUUAUUAUCAGUUGCCAGCAUUAAGUUGGGCACUCUGGUGAGACUGCCGGUGACAAACCGGAGGAAGGUGGGGAUGACGUCAAAUCAUCAUGCCCCUUAUGACCUGGGCUACACACGUGCUACAAUGGAUGGUACAACGAGUUGCGAACUCGCGAGAGUAAGCUAAUCUCUUAAAGCCAUUCUCAGUUCGGAUUGUAGGCUGCAACUCGCCUACAUGAAGUCGGAAUCGCUAGUAAUCGCGGAUCAGCAUGCCGCGGUGAAUACGUUCCCGGGCCUUGUACACACCGCCCGUCACACCAUGAGAGUUUGUAACACCCAAAGUCGGUGGGGUAACCUUUUAGGAACCAGCCGCCUAAGGUGGGACAGAUGAUUAGGGUG